rnacentral:lncRNA from 1 species
AGAAUGCCAAAGAGCAGCAGGAUGGAUCCAGCAUCCUCUCCUGAUAAAAGAGGGCUAGAAGACGGGAGGCUCCGGGAAGUCUACUGGAACGCCAGAAGUGCCAAGCAAUUAACAACCCCAGAAGCAACCCUUAACCAAUGAUUAAAUAAAGUGGAUGAUUACAUACCCAAGCUCCUUCAACUCCCAGGGACAUAAUUCUGAGGGAUGGAAAACAAACUGAAACUGGCUCAAGUGAAUGCUCACUGGAAGGCUUACUGGAAAACUUACUGGAAGGAUGUGAGGACAUGUUCGGGAAUCUAUUUGCAGAAAACAUAUUCAGCCCUGUCCACCACAGCCAGCUGGCUGAAGAGCUCAAAAGGCAAGAAAUCAGCAAGAGAGAGAGAUGAAGCAUGAGAAAUGAGCAAAAAACACCCAGCACAUCAUAAUCUUGGACAGUUUAGCAGUACAUGAAAAUAGAUGGUCCUCGCCCCAAGGGACUGCAGUAACCCUGAAUAAACAGGAUGUCUCUCACUUUUAGCAGUUCUUUCUGUGCUAGUAUUGGGGAAAUAUAUUUUUGGCUGCAUGCAAAAUGGUAAAAGACAUCUAUUAAGAAAA